CUGCUUCCCAAUCUCGGCGCUCCGCCGGCCUCCCAGCGGCCUGCCGCGCACCAGCACCCGCUCCCGGCCCCGCCACGGCCACGGCCCGGGACUGCCCCCCGCACGGCCCCGCUCCACCGAGGUCCCCGCCGCCUCGCGGGCACCGCUGCGCCCUCCCCCGCGGGAAGCAACCGCGCCGCGGGGCCCCAGCGGGCGCGGGAGGCGGGCCGGCCCGCGGGGGAAGCCUCCGGCCUCCGCCGCCACCGCGAGCGAGGGAGCAGUGGCAUUUUGCGAGGGGCGCGGACAAAAUGGCCUCAUUUCCACAGGCAGCCGGCGACGGGGAAGCUUCCACCCCGACCGCGCGCUGCGUGGCGAGGCGGACGGCACAACCAAAACGAGGGGCUCCGGGAGAGGGCUCGGCGUAGCGCGUCCCUGCCACAGGCUCGGCAGCUCGCCGCACGCAACAGCUACUGCGCGCACAGCCGAGGGGAAGCCGCGGAAACGGAGAGGAGCGUUACACACGAAAUCAGGACCUCUUCACUUCAAACCACGCUUGCGGGGCUUGAGGAGAGCAUGCCCAGGAAGGGCCGGGCACCGCCAGGCGCCGUGAAGCUACUGGCACAGCCAGGCCGGCCCUCCCACCGGCUGCACCUGGCUUCCAGGUAACCGGCUAAGAGGAAAGAGGCAACUGCCCGCUACGAGGGUGAACGGAGAUUUCCGGCUUGGAGACGCAGUGAUUGAACAACCAGUUUCAGGUUGUAUGUGACCUCCUGAGCGCAGAUACCCGUCUCCCCGGGAGUGACUAUCCAAACGCGUCUGGCUACACUGCCAGGAAUACCACACGUCCGGUUAUCCCACACAGACGCCACACAGGUGGGUCUCAGCACCGCCUGUACGCUUCUGCGCCUCCGGCGAACGCACGCACGCCCCAGACUUCCCCACAGCAGCACCAGCGCUUCCGUUACUGGGCAUCCCUCUCUGCAUAACCAGGGCUCCAUUUAUCAGCGGAAACACUGGCCUGCUCUGAUCCAUCGGCACACUUCCGACUGCCCUAGUCCUUGCAAACAAAACUCUGCAAGCCGCAGAAACGGCUGGGCUGACACACCGCGUAUCCCGCUCUUGAACCUUACCUUACCGCGGGGUUCACACCUGCGCCCCCCUCUGCUGCGCUUCCCACAGCCUACGCACCAGACAUACAAGUACGUACGCGGCUGGCCCGACGCCUGGCACCGGUUGUACGGUACCACCUUCGCCAACAAGUUUUCCACACCCUGCAGAAACUAACGUCAAGUACCCCAACACGGAGCCGGCCUUACUCCCCGGCUCUGUUACGAACGCCCUCAGGCGUUCAUACCGUACCCGCUUUUCCAGGGCCCGAAUGGUGUCUUCACUCACCCUCCUAAUCAGAACAGAAACGAUCCCGAAGGGCUUUCGAGCCGGGACGGUUUCAGCACGGGAGAGUUUCACCACUCUCCUCCCCCGAGCAAGUCUCUGCAGCCAACUGCACUUGGGGGACAGGGGCGCGCGAAGCAGCGGAGGCCCAGAGAAAGGAAGGGGAGCGAGAGGACUGCAGCUAGCUGGCUGCACACGCAGGUGGAAAUAACGUCUGUUUCAAAUACACGAUUUGCUUCCGCUGGGUGGCAAGAAUACAGCCCUCCGAGCAGCGUAUGGCACAGACCUCAGGAGCGGCAGCCCAACUGGGAGCCUGCUGCUGCUGCAGGCGUGAUGAAUACAGCUGAGAAAGGACACAGCUGGCUCACUGGCUGCCUGUGCUCUUCGCAACACCCUCCCACCCCCGUUUGGAAGCAGAAGGGAGCUGUACAAACGCACACACAUUAGGCUAUUAAGGCAGUCCACCCGCUUCUGGAUGAUGCCAGCAGCAUCCUAACCAGGAUGUGUCACCUUCCUGUCUGCAAUGCACUAACUGUUCAGGGGUGGGCUGGGAAGGGAACAGAGGGCUGGAGGCAGGGACCACUUGGCAGCAUCUUAAAGCAUUGCAGAGCUAAAGGGGAUCCAGGGACAAGCAAUCCAUCUCAGCUGAUGGGAAGCAGCAGCCUUAAUUGGAAAUGAAAAUACACCUUUCCUCCUGCUCUGCGUGCAUGUACAUCGGUGGCCAGGACCAGAGAAAGACCCUCGGUUAUUAACCCUCCCCCGGCUAGGAGUGAGCAAUGACACAGCAAGAAAGUAAACGUGGCCCCAUGAAAACACACGGCGGAGUCAGGCCCGGGCUCGCAGCUGCGGCACCAAGACCUCAGAGCCGUUCAGGCACCUUAAUCUAGACAGCUGCUAGUCCAGAUCAAAA